UCUCUCUCUCCCCCCCCCUCUCUCUCUCCCCUCCUCCUCCCCCCCUUCUCUAUUCCUUUGAACGAAACCCUAACUCCUCUAAAACCCUAAUCCUUCUUCCCUUCUCUUCCUCCCCCUUCGUUAAUACCAGAAUAUACGGUUUCUAGCUCGAUUGUUCCCCCUUUUCCUUAAAUAUACGGGAUCUCCGCCAUUGAUUUUGUGAUUUUUCUCGUUUUUCCCUUCUUGCUGAUACUAGUUUCCCCUUUGAUCUCGAAUCGGUUUCUCUGGCGGUCUAGGGUUCGAAAUUUUUUAUUUUGUUCUCAAUUAGCAUGGCGGAGCGAGUGGAUUGAGCUGAUCCGAAGGGUAGAAAGGGUACUUGCUAGGGGCGGAAGGAUGUACAGGGAUCGAGGAGGGAGCGGGUCGAAGCCGGAGACUGGGACCCUUGAUAGAAAGCGGAUCAAUGAUGCCCUAGACAAGCACCUGGAGAAAUCGUCGCCGUCUACUUCCAGGGGGUUGAACGGGAGGGAGAAGGAGCGGCUCUCCGUGCCGUCCACCUCUGCCGGGAAGCAGCCGGACCACCACCGGGACCAGCGCUCUGCCCCUCUUUCCAAGAACAAAUGCUCAGAUGAAGAAUCUGAAACAGAUAGUGAAGAGUCAGAUGUUAGUGGUUCUGAUUGUGAGGACACAUCUUGGAUUUCAUGGUUUUGUAACUUAAGAGGGAAUGAGUUCUUUUGUGAAGUCGAUGACGAGUACAUACAGGAUGACUUCAAUCUUUGUGGGUUAAGCAGCCAAGUUCCUUACUAUGACUAUGCUCUCGAUCUGAUUUUGGAUGUUGAAUCCUCUCAUGGUGACAUGUUUACUGAGGAACAAAAUGAGUUGGUUGAAUCGGCAGCGGAGAUGUUAUAUGGUCUGAUUCAUGUAAGAUACAUAUUAACCAGUAAGGGGAUGGCUGCAAUGUUAGACAAGUACAAGAAUUAUGACUUUGGAAGAUGCCCAAGAGUUUAUUGCUGCGGUCAGCCCUGCCUUCCAGUUGGGCAAUCAGACAUUCCUCGAUCUAGUACUGUGAAAAUCUACUGCCCAAAGUGUGAAGAUAUAUACUACCCAAGAUCUAAGUACCAAGGCAAUGUUGAUGGAGCUUACUUUGGCACCACAUUCCCUCACCUGUUCCUAAUGACAUACGGACACCUGAAGCCACAAAAGCCAUCACAGCGAUACGUUCCAAGAGUGUUUGGCUUUAAAAUUCACAAACCAUGAUGUUGGAGGAGGAUUGUUCUAUCAGAAACAGCUCAUAAGCUUUCCUCAUUCUUCUUUAUUAGAGAUGUUCUGGCAAGCGCAAAACUGCAAGGAUUAUCACUCAGAUGCAUUGUGAAGGAAUUUUAGUGCGGAGCUGCAAGAUGAUUUUUUUUUUCUGCUUAAAUUAUUGCCUGUGAAUUGAGGGGCUUUCUCUGCACUUCACUAUUGAAAGUCAUACCAUUCAGACACAGGUGCAGCUUGUUGAGAAGGUAAGAUGUAGUAGUUAACCAGAUGAUGAUAUCAAAAAAGAUUGCAAGCAGCUACUUGAAGGCAUGGGAGUGUGGCUGCUGAGCUUCGUUACCACUCUAGUCUGUGCAGGGUCUGUCUGUCUUCGCAUAUCUCUUGCACCCAAGCUCUUUAUAAGCAUCUGGUCUAUCUCUCCUUCCUUUCGCCCCUACUGUUUCUUUUGUUCCAAGGAGUGCUUCAUUGUUUCCCAAUUCUUUGUUGUACCUUGUCUCUUUUGUGCGUCUGGUUAGAACUCAGAAUUCCUGGGAUAGCCAUCAGGGUACUGAAUGCUUGACAGGCUUCUUGGUGGAGCAGAUGCCCUAGCCAACUCAGCUUAAUAAA